AACGAACGCUGGCGGCAGGCCUAACACAUGCAAGUCGAACGCCCUAGCAAUAGGGAGUGGCAGACGGGUGAGUAACACGUGGGAACCUUCCCUAUAGUACGGAAUAGCCCAGGGAAACUUGGAGUAAUACCGUAUAAGCCCGAGAGGGGAAAGAUUUAUCGCUAUAGGAUGGGCCCGCGUCGGAUUAGCUAGUUGGUGAGGUAAUGGCUCACCCAAGGCGACGAUCCGUAGCUGGUUUGAGAGAACGACCAGCCACACUGGGACUGAGACACGGCCCAGACUCCUACGGGAGGCAGCAGUGGGGAAUAUUGGACAAUGGGCGAAAGCCUGAUCCAGCCAUACCGCGUGAGUGAUGAAGGCCUUAGGGUUGUAAAGCUCUUUUGUCGGGGACGAUAAUGACGGUACCCGAAGAAUAAGCUCCGGCUAACUUCGUG
rnacentral:rRNA from 1 species